UACGUAGGGGGCAAGCGUUGUCCGGAAUCAUUGGGCGGAAAGGGUGCGUAGGCGGCGCGGUAAGUCGGGUGUGAAAUCUCGGAGCUUAACUCCGAAACUGCAUUCGAUACUGCCGUGCUUGAGGACUGGAGAGGAGACUGGAAUUUACGGUGUAGCGGUGAAAUGCGUAGAUAUCGUAAGGAAGACCAGUGGCGAAGGCGGGUCUCUGGGACGGUACUGACGCUGAGACGCGAAAGCGUGGGGAGCGAACAGG
rnacentral:rRNA from 1 species